rnacentral:lncRNA from 1 species
CGCUGUUGCAACAUUCGGUUGCGCCAUACCAUAUUUAAUUGAAACGUUCGGGAAGCUAAAUAAAUAUGUUAAUGAAAAAGCAAUAAACAAUAUAUUAGCUAUUGUGAAUUGCUUUGGUGCAGGAUUUAUUUUUUCUAUUGUUGUGUUUCAUAUAGUACCUGAAACUAUAAUGGAUUUUGUUUCGCAUGAAGACGUACGCCUUUUUAAUUCUACAGACAAUGAAUUAAAAGUAUUAUUCACUUUUUUUUUUUUAUUUAUUGGUUUCUGUUUGCAACUAGUAUUAGAAUAUGUGUUAGCUGAUGAAAGUAGCAUGUGUUGUGGUGUUAAUGAGCAUAUUAAGCCUGUUUUAGAUGACAAUAUUUCUAAGUAGAAAAAAAAAAAAAAAAUAUAUGUAUAUAUAUAUAAUUAUCUAUACACACACGGAGGAAAGCCUGGAUAUAACUGUUUUAUCGUGUUCUAUUUUAUUUGUUCUUACUUCAUUUACCAGUACCCAGUUCACUUUCUUCUUUUUUUUUUCUUAUUUAUUUAUUAUUAUUACUACUAUCUUAUUUUUUUCUUGUUUUUUAGAAAAAGCGUAGGCAAGUGUAUGAUUAGUCCGCCUGAUAUCGAAAUGAAUAACACGAUCUACGACGAAAAGGAAUACAUAGAUUCACAUGAUAUUAAACACGUAAAUAAAAGACAUUGGUUCUCUAGCUUUUUACAUGUUUUAGCUUUGCAGUCAUUUUUCUUAACGGUAUCAUUGGCUGUACAUUCAUGCAUUGAAGGCAUGAUUGUAGGAACAGCCAGUGAUGAGUAUUUUCCUUAUGUAACAACAAUUUGCAUUUUGGCUCAUAAGUGGAUUGCUGGAAUGACGAUAGCUCUUUCGUUAAAAAAUAACAACGUGGUAAUUAAAAUUUACAUGCAUAUAUGA